rnacentral:rRNA from 1 species
AGGUGCCCUUCGGGAGCCCGAAGCAGGUGCUGCAUGGUUGUCGUCAGCUCGUGUCGUGAGAUGUUGGGUUAAGUCCCGCAACGAGCGCAACCCCUAUUGUUAGUUGCCAUCAUUCAGUUGGGCACUCUAGCGAGACUGCCGGUAAUAAACCGGAGGAAGGUGGGGAUGACGUCGAAUCAUCAUGCCCCUUAUGACCUGGGCUACACACGUGCUACAAUGGUUGGUACAACGAGUUGCGAGUCGGUGACGGCGAGCUAGUCUCUUAAAGCCAAUCUCAGUUCGGAUUGUAGGCUGCAACUCGCCUACAUGAAGUCGGAAUCGCUAGUAAUCGCGGAUCAGCACGCCGCGGUGAAUACGUUCCCGGGCCUU